UCCGACGUGGUCUAGUGGCUAGGACACCUGGCUCACACCCUGGAAGGCCGGGUUCGAUUCCCAGCGUCGGAA